rnacentral:rRNA from 1 species
CAGCCGCCGCGGUAAUACGAGGAGAGCAAGCGUUGUUCGGAAUUAUUGGGCGUAAAGGGUGCGUAGGCGGCUUGACAAGUCUUGUGUGAAAUCUAUGGGCUCAACCCAUAGUCUGCACGGGAAACUGUCGGGCUUGAGAAUGGGAGAGGUGAGUGGAAUUUCCGGUGUAGCGGUGAAAUGCGUAGAUAUCGGAAGGAACACCUGUGGCGAAAGCGGCUCACUGGACCAUUUCUGACGCUGAUGCACGAAAGCUAGGGGAGCAAACAGGAUUAGAUACCCCCGUAGUCCCUGUCUCUUAUAC